rnacentral:ribozyme from 1 species
AGAGGCUAAGAGUUUGAGGCCAUAGCAGAAAUGCUUAUGGUUGUAGCCAUGUUAGAUUCCAGUGAAUCUGUGAAUUCUGCU